CUGGAAUCUUUAAUGACUGCCGGAUUUCUGUACUUGAAGUGCGAAGGAAUGGAUUGCAAGCCUUCUCAACCUUCAGCACAGUUGGAAUUGUUGGCAAAUUCUUGCUGCGAAGAUGGGCCACAUGGGCUGCAUAGGAAUGGAGUGCCUUAUUAUUGGGUUCUAUAGACAAUGCAAACUUUGAAUUACGCAAUGUAUAUUCAUGGCCGCAAUAUAUAUUUGUAUCAUCUGGCAAAGACGUGAUUUUUCUCAGGGAAGAAUGCAUCUGCUCAGGUGUUCCUUCCAAAAGCUUGCCACAUGAUAAGCUAAACAAAGUGUCUCCUGUGAAAAUCGCCCCUGAUCCAGGAAAGUAGAAACUAAUGUGGCCUCGGGUAUGACCAGGAGUUUCCAUUACAACCACCUUGUGUCCUGCAAACAUCCAUUUAUCACCAUCAUUCAGAACUAUAUCAAUGCCAGGAAUUCUGUCUCUGUCAAUUCCUGGACCAAUUACCUUUGCACCGUACCUUGCUUUCAACUCUUCAUUCCCACCAGUGUGAUCAUGAUGAUGAUGAGUAUUCAGUAUAUAGGUCAAAUUUCGGUUUUUCCUACUUAGAGCAUCUAUAAUUGGUACAGCUUCAGUGGGAUCAACAACUCCAACUGUGCCGGUAUCCACAUCAUGUAAAAGAUAUGCAUAGUUAUCCCCAAGACAUGGCACCAAUUCAAUUUGUAAUGAGGAAGACAUAUUGGAAACACUGCAAAAUUCAGCAACUCUAAGUGUUCUACUAGCUCCACGCAAGGUCUUAAAUGGCAAAGACAGUAAGUGCAUGAAUCCAUACAAGAGGCCUUUUCUAAGGCAAAGCUGUCUUGCACCUGGCCAUACACAAAGCCCACUCCUCACCCUUGAGCAAGGAAGGGAGGCCAUAGCACAAGAUGCUUUAGAGAUCAUUUGCAUCCCUCUCUCACCCUCUUUUUGGUUACUUAAAGAAGUUCAGAGAGAGAGAGAGAGAGAGAGAGAGGG
rnacentral:misc_RNA from 1 species